AGUGAACGCUGGCGGUAGGCCUAACACAUGCAAGUCGAACGGCAGCACAGUAAGAGCUUGCUCUUACGGGUGGCGAGUGGCGGACGGGUGAGGAAUACAUCGGAACCUACUUUUUCGUGGGGGAUAAUGUAGGGAAACUUACGCUAAUACCGCAUACGACCUACGGGUGAAAGCAGGGGAUCUUCGGACCUUGCGCGAUUGAAUGAGCCGAUGUCGGAUUAGCUAGUUGGCGGGGUAAAGGCCCACCAAGGCGACGAUCCGUAGCUGGUCUGAGAGGAUGAUCAGCCACACUGGAACUGAGACACGGUCCAGACUCCUACGGGAGGCGGCAGUGGGGAAUAUUGGACAAUGGGCGCAAGCCUGAUCCAGCCAUACCGCGUGGGUGAAGAAGGCCUUCGGGUUGUAAAGCCCUUUUGUUGGGAAAGAAAAGCAGCAGGUUAAUACCCCGCUGUUCUGACGGUACCCAAAGAAUAAGCACCGGCUAACUUCGUG
rnacentral:rRNA from 1 species